GAUGAACGCUGGCGGCGUGCCUAAUACAUGCAAGUCGAGCGAACAGACGAGGAGCUUGCUCCUCUGACGUUAGCGGCGGACGGGUGAGUAACACGUGGAUAACCUACCUAUAAGACUGGGAUAACUUCGGGAAACCGGAGCUAAUACCGGAUAAUAUAUUGAACCGCAUGGUUCAAUAGUGAAAGACGGUUUUGCUGUCACUUAUAGAUGGAUCCGCGCCGCAUUAGCUAGUUGGUAAGGUAACGGCUUACCACGGCAACGAUGCGUAGCCGACCUGAGAGGGUGAUCGGCCACACUGGAACUGAGACACGGUCCAGACUCCUACGGGAGGCAGCAGUAGGGAAUCUUCCGCAAUGGGCGAAAGCCUGACGGAGCAACGCCGCGUGAGUGAUGAAGGUCUUCGGAGCGUAAAACUCUGUUAUUAGGGAAGAACAAAUGUGUAAGUAACUAUGCACGUCUUGACGGUACCUAAUCAGAAAGCCACGGCUAACUACGUG
rnacentral:rRNA from 1 species